AACCCUUGCCCUAGUUGCCAGCGAGUCAAGUCGGGAACGUCUAAGGGGACGUGCCGGUGACAAACCGGAGGAAGGCGGGGAUGACGUCAAGUCAUCAUGGCCCUUAUGGGCUGGGCUACACACGUGCUACAAUGGCCGGUACAGAGGGUUGCCAAGCCGCGAGGUGGAGCUAAUCUCACAAAGCCGGUCGUAGUCCGGAUUGCAGUCUGCAACUCGACUGCAUGAAGUCGGAAUCGCUAGUAAUCGCGGAUCAGCAUGCCGCGGUGAAUACGUUCCCGGGCCUU
rnacentral:rRNA from 1 species